rnacentral:lncRNA from 1 species
AGCUAUGGAGCUGUGACAGAUCGCUUGUUGGGACCAGUAGAGAUCUUUAGAUGUUUCAGUUAUGUAUUUUUUUGAAAGUGGUAUUCAUGUAUUUUGUUGGUGUAAGUUGUGUUGUAUAAUAGGAUGGAAUUAGGAGUACUUUUAUCGUUUGAAUUUUUCUUCACUGUAUUUUAUUUAAGAUUUUUGUUGGACCUGGUUUUUGAGUUGGAAAUUGUUGCGGCCUGGGUUUAUUUUAUAUUUUUUUUAAAUUCGGGUCGUGACAUUUCUUGGUAUCAGAGCGCUAGGUUCACUUAGACCGGUGCGGUCUAGGUUGUCCUCGGAAUGUGGAUUUGGGCAUUCGUAUAUUUUAGUUUAUUUUUGCUUUUACCUGUAAUGGUUAGAAUCUCAUCAAGUAAAAAAGGAAAUUCAACGAUU